CUGAUAUAUCCUGGCCUCAUCCAUAGAACUAAACUUUCUUAACAUCCAAAACAUCACCCACCUGGUCUCUCUGAAAUGAGCCCAUGUCUCAGGAAUUGUCUGGGAAUUGCCUAAAAUAAUUGUGGUUUGUUCAGUGAGGACACUGGCAGGGGCUGCUCCAUGCCCCACUUCAUGCCCCAGCUGAGCUCUGGAGCCUGUGCCCUUGCCCUAGCUCAAAGUACCAGGACAGGCAAAACCCACUUGUUUAACUCUUAUGUCUCUAAACACUUCAAUUAGAUGCUUAGACUGCUCUAAUUAGGGUUUUUUUCCCCAGAUCUUUCCCAAGAAGGGAGAAAAGGAUGAUAUCCCAUCAGGCUGGGUGUCACAUCAGCCAUGAGAUAAAUGGGCUGCCUUGCACCUGUGGCUGGUGUGGGUGUUGGUCUGCUCAGAGCUUGUUGCAAACCUUCCUGCCAGUGGUGAAACACCACUCCUGGAGAUUCUGCAGCCAGAGAUGAAAUACAGGCUAUGUGACCCAUGAUAAAUCUCUUCUCCUUCCUGUAGUGUUUGGAAUCCCCCACUUUUUGUACUAAAGGAGCAGAAAGCUGCUUGGGCUGUGAGGAAAACUCUGCAGAAUGCUGUACAUAUCCAUGCAUUAUCCAGUUUUUCUGCAAAAUAAAGCAAAUCUUGUCCAUAUAUCUGAAGAUAUCCAUACAUUAAAGAUUAUCACUGCAUCUGCAAAGAAUUAUGCAUACAGGACAAGGAAAAAAGGAUUUAUAGAAUCAUCGAGUUAAAAAUGCCAAAAGAUUUUUCCUCCAAAAGAAUGAAUAUUCCCUAUAAAGAAGGAGGAAUGAGAGCCUGGCUCUAUGACAUUAAUUUAUAAUAAUUCCGAAUCCCUAUCUGACAAAGAAUGCUCAGCAGAGCAUUUGCUUUAAAUGACAGCUUGAAAGGGUUUCCCUCUGGAUCAUGUAAACAGGAAGAUCCCCAGCCUGUCUUCUUCCUGUCUCAAAAAUUGUGAACUGAUCAAGGAAAAAUCAUGGAAGUGAAACAAACCUUUCCCCAAAUGUUUCAAGCCUAUUUUCUCCAUGCAAUGCCUGUCAAGUUCUUAGUAAAGCUGAAGGGAUUUAUUUGAAUUUGAAUCUGAGCAAGUACUGAACACCUCAUUUCAUCUUAAUUGCAUGGAUUGAAUUCUAUAGCUAAAAUGGAACUCAUAGUUGUUAAGUAAACUGAAAUGCUCCUGUAAUUGAUUGCAAUGAACCUGCAUGGUUUGUGUUUUAUUCAAAAAGAACUGGUGGUAUGUCUUGUUUUCUAGUGGAAGGUUCCCUGCCCAUGGCAAAGUGAUUGGAACCAGAUGGUCUUUGAGGUCCUUUUCAACACAAACCAGUCUGUGAAUCUAUGAGGAAAAAAAUAUCCAAAUAUAAUUGAUAUAACCAAACAAGAGCUAAAUGCCACCAAGAUUAAAAUAUUAUAACAACCAUGGACUGGAGCAGCCUGGGGCAUGUUUGUUGUAAAACAAAUAUCCACAUACAUAUGCACAACAUUUACUUUCAUAGAAGGUGUCCAUUUAGAGAUUUAUAACAUGCAGAAAACCUCCCAUUUCCAAUGGAAAAUUCAAAAUCCAUGAGAGCCUGGUAGGUGAGUCCAAUCCCUGUGCACACUCCCUGACCAUCUCUCUUGCUGUUGCACAGUUGGAUUUGCAGCUCCCAGCAGCUACAGAUCCCACUGGGAAUGUGCAGACCCCAAUCCCCAGGUCCCAUUCAGUGUUUCAAAUAUAGCAGCUUAUAACUGUGAUCAUCUGCAUUUUAUAUUGGGAACACACUCACCAAGGACAUGACCUGAUUUUUGUUAGGAGUAAAGGGGGACAUCAAAACUUCUUCCUCUGCUGCUGCUCCUUCUGCCUCUGUAACUUCACUGAGGUCACGAGAAGUUGGACAGGAUCAUAGAGCUGAGCUACCUAAAUGGCAUGGUGCUAAAAAUAUAUUUAUUCAGAAUGGCUAAUUAAGGUGAAUGACUACCAGUCUUCAUUAGCACUGAAGUGGUGUUAAUUUGAUUAGACUUCUGGCCUAGAUAGACUUGCAAGGCUUUAUGUUUCUAAUGCAAUUUCUCUAACGAGAAAGCAUUUUAGAUGAAAUGUUACCCAUCAGCGUCUUUCUUUGUAUAAAUAUUAAGUAGACAUUUGCCUUUUAGUGCUCUUAAUUUUUAGGGAUCAGGGAAACAGUGAAGAUGUGACAUCUGCAUUGCCUUGGGAUAUGGGGAGAAUGUGAGAAAAUAAACUUGCAAUUCUUGCUCCA
ensembl:lncRNA